GUUCAAUUUAAUUCUGGUUGUGAAAGGGUUUGGGGUAGUGCUACAUGGGUUCUGUCUGUUGUCAGAAGGGUUCGUAAGGUUUUGAGGUCUUGCCCAGUGGUUGAAUCUUGAUUUAUUGAGGUAAUUCAGAUCAGGCUAUCCUAAAGGGAUGGAGAAUUCGCAGUGCCAGCAUCCGCGGUUAUUCUGUUAAUCUUCUCUUUCGUUUGGUUUAAAUGUUUUGUGGGGUAUUUAGCACUCUUUGGGUAGAAUCUUUGAGUUUGGUUGAAAUGUGUCUGCAUUUCCUUCGGGCGCUUUUUAGGAAAAGGAUUAGAGACCCUUGUACUAGGUGUAACAUUUUGUGGCCAUGGUGGGAACUAAAAGGAUUUGGCAGCCGAUGAGGUUCUUCCGGGGGAGUGUGUGGCGUAAGAGAUAGUCCGCUUAGGAUCUUACCAUCGUUAUCCGUUAGUGUAUGUCCGGUUUAAGAUUCGUGAUUUGUGUCAAGGGGUGUCAUGGUUUGAUUUAAUCCAGGUCAAUGUGCUGCUCAUGCGAUGGUGCUUGUGCACUACUGUUGGAAUGCUCUUCGGUGUAAGGGGAGGACGUUCAGGGACUCGGAAGUAGGUGGAUUGAGGUUUGUUCUAUCGAAUCUGGAUUUAGUUGGGGUACAUACCGCCCGUCACCCAGGGUGUUAACUGUGGUAAGUCGUAACAUGGUAAUGUCGGGGGAACCGGACGUUAGUUGGCCUCGC
rnacentral:ncRNA from 1 species